CACGGGGGUUGCGAGCGUUGUCCGGAAUUACUAGGCGUAAAGGGCAGGCAGGCGGAUCCAUAAGUUUAUCGUUUAAGGCGUCGGCUUAACCGGCGUAGGGCGGUAGAUACUGUGGAUCUGGAAUGCGGUUGGGGAAGACAGAAUUCCUGGUGUAGCGGUGGAAUGCGCAGAGAUCAGGAGGAAUACCGAAGGCGAAGGCAGUCUUCCAAGCCGUUAUUGACGCUCAGCUGCGAAGGUGUGGGUAUCAAACAGGAUUAGAUACCCGCGUAGUCCCU
rnacentral:rRNA from 1 species